UUUUCCGGUUGAUCCCGCCGGAGGCCACUGCUAUCGGUGUUCGACUAAGCCAUGCGAGUCAAAUGUUCUUCGUGAACAUGGCGUACUGCUCAGUAACACGUGGAUAACCUGCCCUUAGGUUCGGCAUAACCCCGGGAAACUGGGGAUAAUUCCGGAUAGAUCAUAGAUGCUGGAAUGCGCUGUGGUCCAAAGCUAUUGCGCCUAAGGAUGGGUCUGCGGUCUAUCAGGUCGUAGUGGGUGUAAUGUACCUACUAGCCUACGACGGAUACGGGUUGUGGGAGCAAGAGCCCGGAGAUGGAUUCUGAGACAUGAAUCCAGGCCCUACGGGGCGCAGCAGGCGCGAAAACUUUACAAUGCGGGGAACCGCGAUAAGGGGACACCGAGUGCCAGCAUCCUAUGUUGGCUGUCCAUAUGUCUAAAUCGCAUAUGUUAGCAAGGGCCGGGCAAGACCGGUGCCAGCCGCCGCGGUAACACCGGCGGCCCGAGUGGUGGCCACUAAUAUUGGGUCUAAAGGGUCCGUAGCCGGCUUGGUCAGUCUUCCGGGAAAUCUGACGGCUUAACCGUUAGGCUUCCGGGGGAUACUACCAGGCUUGGGACCGGGAGAGGUAAGAGGUACUACGGGGGUAGGAGUGAAAUCUUGUAAUCCCCGUGGGACCACCAGUGGCGAAGGCGUCUUACCAGAACGG
rnacentral:rRNA from 1 species